rnacentral:rRNA from 1 species
UUCCGGUUGAUCCCGCCGGAGGCUACCGCUAUUGGAGUUCGAUUAAGCCAUGCGAGUCGCGAGUCUUAGGGACUCGGCGUACCGCUCAGUAACACGUGGGUAACCUGCCCUAUGCUGGGGGAUAACCUCGGGAAACUGAGAAUAAUACCCCAUAGUUCACCACGCCUGGAACGGUGGGUGGAUGAAAGCUCCGGCGGCAUAGGAUGGGCCUGCGGCGUAUCAGGUUGUAGGGGGUGUAAUGUACCCUCUAGCCAUCUACGCGUACGGGUGUUGGGAGACAUCGCCCGGAGAUGGAUUCUGAGACACGAAUCCAGACCCUACGGGGUGCAGCAGGCGCGAAAACUUGGCAAUGCGAGCAAUCGUGACCAGGGAACUCCAAGUGCAUCGGGUAAGACCGAUGCUUUUCUUGACUCUUCAAAGGUCUUGGAAUAAGGGGUGGGUAAGGACGGUGCCAGCCGCCGCGGUAAUACCGGCGCCUCAAGUGGUAGUCGCUUUUAUUGGGCCUAAAACGUCCGUAGCCGGUUUGGUACAUUCGUGGGUAAAUCAAGGCGCUCAACGUCUUGAAUUCUGCGAGCACGGCCAGACUUGGGACCGGGUGAGGUGUGGGGUACUCUCAGGGUAGGGGUAAAAUCCUGUCAUCCUGAGAGGACCACCUGUUGCGAAGGCGCCACACUAGAACGGAUCCGACGGUCAGGGACGAAGCCUAGGGGCACGAACCGGAUUAGAUACCCGGGUAGUCCUAGGUGUAAACGCUGUGGACUUGAUGUUGGGAGUGCUCCGAGCACCCUCAGUGUCGAAGCGAAGGUGAUAAGUCCACUGCCUGGGGAGUACGGUCGCAAGGCUGAAACUUAAAGGAAUUGGCGGGGGAGCACCGCAACCUGAGGAUUGUGCGGUUUAAUUGGAGUCAACGCCGG